rnacentral:lncRNA from 1 species
GAAUUUGCAUUCAAAAAGACUUUACAGGUCUGAGUUCAAGUGUCCCCGGUUAGCGCGAGGAUCGUGGCAAGGGCAUAGCACCCUAGUGGUAUAUGUACAUAGCUAGCUUUACUCCGUUUUGCAUUAGCUGUCACCCUUUGUAUUUGAGAGUAGAUGAUGUAUAGGUGUGAGGUUAUUUGGAGGAUGUAAAAACAUGUUGCAUUUAUGUUUAUGUUUUGGAAGUAAAUUGAUGUAUUAAAGAGAUCGAAUGAAUGUAAUAGAUAGAA